rnacentral:rRNA from 2 species
CCGCGUGAACGAUGAAGGCCUUCGGGUCGUAAAGUUCUGUUGUUAGGGAAGAACAAGUACCAGAGUAACUGCUGGUACCUUGACGGUACCUAACCAGAAAGCCACGGCUAACUACGUGCCAGCAGCCGCGGUAAUACGUAGGUGGCAAGCGUUGUCCGGAAUUAUUGGGCGUAAAGCGCGCGCAGGCGGUUUCUUAAGUCUGAUGUGAAAGCCCACGGCUCAACCGUGGAGGGUCAUUGGAAACUGGGGAACUUGAGUGCAGAAGAGGAGAGUGGAAUUCCACGUGUAGCGGUGAAAUGCGUAGAGAUGUGGAGGAACACCAGUGGCGAAGGCGACUCUCUGGUCUGUAACUGACGCUGAGGCGCGAAAGCGUGGGGAGCGAACAGGAUUAGAUACCCUGGUAGUCCACGCCGUAAACGAUGAGUGCUAAGUGUUAGAGGGUUUCCGCCCUUUAGUGCUGCAGCAAACGCAUUAAGCACUCCGCCUGGGGAGUACGGUCGCAAGACUGAAACUCAAAGGAAUUGACGGGGGCCCGCACAAGCGGUGGAGCAUGUGGUUUAAUUCGAAGCAACGCGAAGAACCUUACCAGGUCUUGACAUCCUUCGCUACUUCUAGAGAUAGAAGGUUCCCCUUCGGGGGACGAAGUGACAGGUGGUGCAUGGUUGUCGUCAGCUCGUGUCGUGAGAUGUUGGGUUAAGUCCCGCAACGAGCGCAACCCUUGAUCUUAGUUGCCAGCAUUCAGUUGGGCACUCUAAGGUGACUGCCGGUGACAAACCGGAGGAAGGUGGGGAUGACGUCAAAUCAUCAUGCCCCUUAUGACCUGGGCUACACACGUGCUACAAUGGAUGGUACAAAGGG